rnacentral:lncRNA from 1 species
CCCUUCCCCAGCCCCCCCUGUACCUGCUCGGGGCCGCGGCCCUUCCUCCGGCGCUUCUUGUGCAGCUCCUUGCGCUCCGCCACCAGCCCCAGCCCCAGCAGCUUCUCCACCACGCGGGCCCGCGACCGCCGCGCCGUCAGGUUCUUCAUGAUGUUCCCCAGGACGUCUGCGGGGAGGGCUCAGCUGGGGACCGGACCCCCCCUCACCCAUCCCACCCCAGAAUCUGUCUCUUAUACACAUCUAGAUGUGUAUAAGAGACAGCUGCGACCCCCUCCUCAGCCCCCCCCGUGCCGACCUCACUCACCCCUCUCCCUCCCGCAGGGAGCUGUAGCCCUCGGUCAUCUCGCGGACGGCCGUGGGGUUCUUCCAGAAGAGCAGCUCCACGAAGGCCUUCUUGUUGGUGGCCGCCAGCGCGAAGAACUUGCCCAGGAUGAACUUGGCCAGGGCCACCAGCUCCUGGGGUGGGAAGGGAAAAGAAGGGAAGGGUUGGGGGGUCCCGGGGGGGGCUGCAGGGGGCUGGGGGAGCGGGGUCGGGAGGGCAGGGCCCUGACCUGGUGGGCAGCAGCGCCGGGGUCGUUGAGGAGGCGGUGGAAGAGGGUGAAGAGGGAGAGCUGGAAGAGCAGGGCCUCCAUGCGCAGGUCGCGGGCCAGGCGGUGCAGCAGGCGGGCGGCGCAGUGGUUGGUGCGGGCGCUGUUCUGAGCAUAGCCCCGCAGCAGCAGGGUGCAGGCACGGACCACGGGGGCGCAGGCAAACCUGGACCCCCCCCGCCCCCAGAGCUGGUGAGCGGGGCCGUGGCGGCUCCCCCUCUGCCCCCCAGCACCCCCCCGGGGCCGGACCCCCUCACCGCUUGAGGUAGUCCAUGAAGUUGAACUCCUUCUCCGCCACCUGCACCGUCUGCUCCUCCUCGUCCUCCUCCACCUCCUCUUCCUCGAGCUCCUCCGGCUCCUCGGCCUCAGGGGGUGCGUGCCCUGUGGGGGGAGCGGCGUUAAGGGGUGCAGAGCGUCUCCAGCCCAGGACCCCGCUGCCAUGGGGGCAGGAUCUGGCCCCGGGACUCACUGGGCAGGGCAGCGAAGAAGAUCUCCUGCAGCAGCUGGGUCUCCUCGGACGGCCCCGCACCAGAGGGGCCGAACACGUCCCCUUCGGGCCACACUUCCCUGGGGGAGAGGGGCACAGAGCUGGCACCGGGGCCCUGCGCCCUGCCCGGGCAGGGGGGGGUCUGGUGGGGGCCCGUACCUGGCGCAGCGGAGCAGCCGCAGGGCCUCGGGGGCCUGGGCAUCCCGCAGGCAGCCCUGGAUCCGCAGCAGAGCCUCCGCGCGCUGCUCCUCCACCGGCGUCUCCGAGGCAGCAUCGAAGGGCACCACGUCCUCGGGGAGGGGCACCUCGCCCUGGGGACGGGACUCGGAGUCACCCCGCGCCCCCACGGACACCCCGGGGGGUGGCAGAGGCCCCGGAUCCUUCCCCUACCUGCAGGCAGGCCUGGAGCUGCGGGGCCAACCCUGCCCACAGCUCCUCCAGCUCGGCCGCGCUGGGCGGCUGCGGGGCGAGGGCUGCNGAGGGGCCGAACACGUCCCCUUCGGGCCACACUUCCCUGGGGGAGAGGGGCACAGAGCUGGCACCGGGGCCCUGCGCCCUGCCCGGGCAGGGGGGGGGUCUGGUGGGGGCCCGUACCUGGCGCAGCGGAGCAGCCGCAGGGCCUCGGGGGCCUGGGCAUCCCGCAGGCAGCCCUGGAUCCGCAGCAGAGCCUCUGCGCGCUGCUCCUCCACCGGCGUCUCCGAGGCAGCAUCGAAGGGCACCACGUCCUCGGGGAGGGGCACCUCGCCCUGGGGACGGGACUCGGAGUCACCCCGCGCCCCCACGGACACCCCGGGGGGUGGCAGAGGCCCCGGAUCCUUCCCCUACCUGCAGGCAGGCCUGGAGCUGCGGGGCCAACCCUGCCCACAGCUCCUCCAGCUCGGCCGCGCUGGGCGGCUGCGGGGCGAGGGCUGCGGGCGCCCGCGGCUUCUUCUUCCUCCGCACGCGUUUGCUCUGGGAGGGGGGCGAGAGAGAGAAGUCAGGAGGGGCCACCCCCCUCUCCCCUGCCCCCUCGGGUGCAGCCUCAGCCCACCUGCACCACGAGCCCCGUGCGGCCGCGGCAGAAGCGCUCCAGCAUGCGCAGGAAGAGGUGCGCCGUCUCCACCAGGUCCCGCAAGAAGGCGCGCGGCUGCUUGGUCUCAUCAAACUUGCGGAACAGCGCGAGGAGGAGCUCGCGGUACUCCGUCAGGUGGUGAGGUUCUGCUCGAUGAAGUGGAAGGCGCGGACGCCCACCGUCUCCGACACCAGCUCGGGCCGAAAGCCCCGGCUGCGGUUGAAGGCCAUGAAGAAGGCGGUGGCCCACAGGAGCCGGGCCCCCCCCUGCCCUCACCUUGACCAGCAGCAUCAGGCGGUUGUAGCAGCCCUCCAGAAAGUCCUGGCAGAAGUGGCAGAGGAAGAGCCGCACAUUGCGGGCAGAGCGCCGCGAGGGUCCGGGAUCGGGGGGGGCCUGGCGCCGCCGUGGCACCCGGCGCGGCUCCUUGCCCAGGUCGUGGCUGUAGCUCUGGAGCUGUGGGGACAAGAGGGGACAGCCUGACUAGUGUCCCCCCUCCCCACACCUCCCACUGUGUCCCCCGCCCCGUGCUCACGUUGUGCAGCCCCUUGUGGAAGACGACGUCGUUGUCCCCGAUGGCCUUCAGGCCCUGGAUGACGUAGGAGCCGCGGAACCGGGAGUGCCUGGCGGGCAUGGGAUGAGCGGUGCCACCCCAGAGAUGGGGUCCCAGCCCCUCCGGCCCUCUCCUCACCUGGACGGGCGCUGCAGCGCUCGGGCCCUCUUCUCCGCCAGCUCCCUCUGCCGCAGGGUCUCCAGCUCCCGCGUGUCCUCCCCGCGCUCGGCGGCUGCCUGCCCCUGCCCCAGCGCUGCCAGCUGCUCCGGGCUCUGCGGCAGAGCCGUCAGCGCUGCCCCGGGUGCUUUGGGGGGGAGUCCCGGGUUCAGCCCAGCUCACCUGGUCGCGGAACAUGAGGGAAAUGAUCUCGAGGACGUGCAGGGCCCAUUGCUGCUCUGACUGAGCGCUGGCCAGGAACUUGAGCAGGUCAUCCAUCCCACUGAUGUGCAGCGCCCACAGCACCCGGUCGUGCACGCUGGCAUCGCCGUCCACACCCUGGGGGGGUGGCCGAAGUGUGGGGAGGGUCAGGACGUGGAACGCCAGGCCCUGAGGGGGAGCCCCCGCAGCCCCCAACCCGGUACCUGCUCCUCCGUGGGGUCCGGGGGCACGUGCAGCACGUUGCGCACCAGCAGCAGGAUCCGCUCGAUCAGCAGCGUGUCCUCCUCCUGCCGCUGCUCCCAGUCCUGCGGCGGCGCAGCCGUGAGGGCUCCUGGGGGUCCCCGGGACCCCCCCAACCCUGCCGUGCCCGGGACUCACCAGCUGCAGCACGUCGUAGAGCUUCUCGCUGAGCACCCCAAAAACUUUCUCACUGGCGAACGCCUGCAGAAAACCCUGCGUGAGUGCGGGGGGGGUCUGGGCAGAGCCCCCCUGCCCUGGGGCUGCCCUGGGGGCCCCGUGCCCGGCGUGCUCACCUCCUUGUAGGCCUGGAGGUAGGACAGCACCUGCAGAAAGUGGUGCCGGGCGGUGGCGUCUGCCGGCACCUUGCCGAAGCAGAGCAGAGCCGGCUGCGUCAGGUUCACCAUCAGCCUGCGAGAGGACCGGGGGGGACACAUGGGACUCCCGCUGCUCCCAGGGGAGGGGGCGCCGCGGGACGGAGCAGCCCCGGGGGGGGG